CCGACACUAUUUCUCCCCCCACCCCCUUUAAGGACAACUGAAGUUAAGCUGUUAAACAUUCAGACAGAGCUGGGCAGUGUUGUCAUAAUAGUGUGCAGUACUGUUCAUCUCUGCAUUCAGAGGUAAUUCCACAGGUCAAGUCCCCUGCAGGACUGACCAAACCUCACUCAGCUGAGAGAGAAGGCAGCUGGAGAAGAUCUGCAUGAGCUAAUGCCUUGGGGCAGGGGAAGAAGGGAAGACGGGGUCUGUCAGAGGAGAGAAUAAGGACUGGAAGCUGAAGGAAUCUAUGUGAGCUUGAGCUCCCACACAGAAAGCAAGAAGAGCUCACAGAGAUCACAGUAUCAGACUUUACACAGUAAGAGUUGCAGGGCUUACUCUGCAGCCAUGUUCUUAAUCUGGCUGACAGUCACAAUGCAAAUACUUAAAGCCCACAGAAGAGAAGCACACAUUUACAUGAGCAGCUGCUUCUCCUGGAUGCAGAAAUGUGUAAACGAUACUCUGGAGAAAGCACCGUGUUUGAGCAUGGAUCUGUGUGGUACAACACCAAUAAAACACAAUCAAAGCCUCCUCUGAAACAGCCCAUUUCAUCACCUGUCUGAGCUACAGGGCAACCAGAGACUGUUCUCUGGGACAGACCUUUGGGACUCAUCCUCUAGAAGUGAAAAUCACACUGGGACAGCCGCUGUAUUGGAUGCAAUCAGUGAGUUUCAGCAUGACUUCCCCUUAGCAGGGGGAACCUGCCACGUGCAGCUGCAGGAAAUCCUCUGGCCAAAACCAUCUCCGUUCCCUGUACCUGAGACUCACUGAUCUCAGCAAAACCUUCUUAGUUACCCUUCAGCUCUGAAGAAAAGAUUGUCAUGAACAUGCUUCUCACACCCCUCCACCACUGCCAAAUUUCCUGACAACCUCAAUUUCAAGCACAAUGCUUUUUUACCUUGCUUCAGAAACCUGCUGUUCAAUUCCCUGCAGCUUUCAGCUCCGGAGAAGCAAGGACAGCACAAGGGGUGGUAGAUGUAGUUGAGCCCCAGGUGAAAAGCAGGCAAAGACACCAGAACAAAAGCACCUGCUGUGCACCACUUCAUACAACUCACUCAGUCUAAAGCAGAAGCAGCAGAAAUCAGGGACACACUAAGCCUCAUUUUUCACCCCUUUCACAAGUCGUAUUUCCUCCCUUCAGGUGAGGCAGGUUUUGUGCUGCAUCUGAAAGCUCAGCUUCCUCCUGAAAACAGUCUUAAAGAUACAAAUGUAAAACCACACCAAUAUCGUAAGGCUAAAGGCUUCUGUAAACCGUUUUCCCUUGGGAGAAAACAACACACCCCAUACAAAAACAACCAAAACCUCCAUCUCUGUGCCAUUAAGAAUCACUGCCUCCAAACACACAGCUUAAAUAUUUAAUUCAGUCUGUGUCUGAGUGUGGGGGGGGGCUUCUGCUCAACAGCCCACCUCACUGGUGGGAGCAUAACAAACAGUGCAACACAAUUCACAGGUUUAUUUAAUAAAUAUUUAUUUAAAAAUAUGCUUUUAUUCACAGUUUCAAGUCUGAAAAAAGAUAACACUAUUGUGGAUCAAUUCCAACACAGCAAAGAUCAUUCACCUCCUGUUGCAAAUGAAACACCAGCAAUGGCAAAUGCAAGAACCUUGCAUCAAAGCAAGGAAGGCACACAUUUUGUGCAGAAUAGUGACUGUAAUGAGAGAAAUGUAUCCAUGCAUCCGACAGAAACCUCCUUGCACUGCUUGGUUUCCUGUUCCUGGUUAAAGUAUUCCAAUAAAGCUUUGCUUACAAAGUCUAUCUCGUUAAAUAUCAAACAGAGCAACUGUGAGGUUAUAUUCCUAUGCAAAAUGUUUGCAUUGCUGCAAAGCCUUAAAGAGAAACAUUGUGCUUUUCUCCCAAGAUAAAAAAAAAAAAAA